GACGAACGCUGGCGGCGUGCUUAACACAUGCAAGUCGAACGGAAAGGCCCUGCUUUUGUGGGGUUCUCGAGUGGCGAACGGGUGAGUAACACGUGAGUAACCUGCCCUUGACUUUGGGAUAACUUCAGGAAACUGGGGCUAAUACCGGAUAGGAGCUCCUGCUGCAUGGUGGGGGUUGGAAAGUUUCGGCGGUCGGGGAUGGACUCGCGGCUUAUCAGCUUGUUGGUGGGGUAGUGGCUUACCAAGGCUUUGACGGGUAGCCGGCCUGAGAGGGUGACCGGCCACAUUGGGACUGAGAUACGGCCCAGACUCCUACGGGAGGCAGCAGUGGGGAAUAUUGCACAAUGGGCGGAAGCCUGAUGCAGCAACGCCGCGUGCGGGAUGACGGCCUUCGGGUUGUAAACCGCUUUCGCCUGUGACGAAGCGUGAGUGACGGUAAUGGGUAAAGAAGCACCGGCUAACUACGUG
rnacentral:rRNA from 1 species